rnacentral:lncRNA from 1 species
CCCCUGGUUUUCUUUCCCUAGACCCAUCUAAGGAAUGAUUUACCACCCCUGCAUUUCUCUCCUUGGUAUAUCCUAAUCAAGGAAUGUGUUACCGCCCUGCAGCUUUUUCCUUAGUCCCAACCACAAAGGAAAUACUUUAGCAGCUCUCCCGGUGUUUUUUUACCUCGGUCUGUGCACAGAGUUUUCUGGUUCAUGUGAUAUGUGAGAAUCCUUUACUCCUGGUCACUGGUCAGGUUUUUUGUUUUUUUUCUGCAUUGGUGAGAGUCCAGGUUUAUUUGUCACACUGGAUGGGUCUUGAUUCCUUAUCCCUGAGGCCACUGCAAUGAGGCAGAGGAGCACGCUUCCUCAUGAGAGAGGAUGGGAGACCACACCUGGAGGAGAAGAUGGAGUCUUGCUCUGUCGCCUAGGCUGUUGACAGUGGUGAGAUCUCAGCUAACUGCAACCUCUGCCUCCUGGUUUCAAGCAAUUCUUCUGCUUCAGCCUUUCAAGUAGCUGGGGUUACAAGUUCCCACCAUGAUGCCCAGCUAAUUUUUUGUAUUUUUAGUAGAGAAGGGAUCAGGUUGGUCUCAAACUCCUGAUCUCAGUUGAUCUGCCCCCCUUGGACUCCCAAAUUGCUAGGAUUACAGGCUUGAGCCACUGCACCUGGCCUUUGUUACAUAUUUUGGAUAUAGACUUAUAAAUGAGGAGCAUUUGUAACUUUCUAAAAUAAUGGCUGCAUCUUUGUUUUCCACCAACAAUUAACAUGGGUUUCACUUUUAUUGCAUCGUCAACAGAUUUGAUGUUUUUAAAAAUAUUUGUAGUGGUCCUCCUAAUGGGUGUGAGGUGAUUUUGUUUGUCAGUGGUUUUUUUUGUUUUUUUGUUUUUUUUUUCAUUUCUUUACAAGUUAGUAAUUUUUUGUGUCCUUUCAAAUGCUUUUUCCCAUUUGUGUACUUGUCUAAUGAAAAAUUUUUUGUCCAUUUCUAAAUCAAGUUAUUCAAUUUUAUUGUUUAAAGAGUUGUUUAUAUAUUUUGAAUAUUAACUUCUUUCACAUGUGAUUUGCAAAUGUUUUCACCCGUUUUCUAAGGGAUGUUGUUACUCUUGAAUUGUUUUUUGGUAUGCAGAAAUUUUGAAGUCUAGUGUAGUUAAACUUUUCUGUUAUUUCAUUUGCUGCUCAUGCAUUUAAUUUUGUAGCUAAGAAAAUGAUGCCAAGACCAAUGUCAUGUCUUUUUUCCGUAGUUUUUCUAAAAGAUUUGUUAGUUUUUUUAUGUCCAAGCAUUUUAUUUAAAAUAUAUUUUAAUUCAAGGAAAUAAUCCAACUUUUUUAUCAGUUUUGAUAUUCAGUUUUCAACAUCAUUUUUUGAAGAGAUUAUUUUUCUCUGUUUUGUGCUCAUGGCAACGUUGUGGAAGAUCAUUUGAUCAUAUAUAGAAGGGUUCAUUUCUGAACUCUAUUUUGUUCUUUCAUCUGUUAAUCUUUGUGUCAAUAUCACACUGUUUAUGUUCUGUAGCUUUUAACUGUAGGUUGGAUUGACAUCUUUGAAAAAUGACAUUUUUUGACACAGAGCAAGAAUAUGUUGAAGAGUGUGUUUCAUAUUCACAUAGUUUUGAAUAUGCCAGUUUGACUUUUGCUUUUAAUUCCUAGUUUCAUUCAGUUUUUGUUAGAAAACACGCAAUGUAUAAUUUUAGUCUUCUUAACGUAAUUUGUUGUUGUUUUGAGACAACAUCUUGCAUCCCAGGCUGCGGUGCAGUGGCAUAAUUUUGGCUCACUAUAGCCUCAGCCUCCUGGGCUCAAGAGAUCCUUUCACUUCAGUUUUCUGAGUAGUUAGGACUACAGACAUGCACUACCAUGUCUGGAUAAUUGUUUGCUUGUUUGUAGUUUUAGGAUCUCACAAUGUUGUCCAGGCUAGUCUCAAACAUUUGGCACCAAUGGAUCCUCUUACCUUGGUAUCACAAAGUGUUAGGAUUAUAGGCAAGAGCCACUGCACCCAGUUAGUAUUUUUAAAUUUAAUAAAACUUGCUGUGUCCUAACAGAAUGCAUCAGGUGCAAAUAGGAAUAUUGUGUAUUAUCUUGGUUUUCACUGGAGAGUUUUGUAUGUGUCUGUGAAGCCUAGUUCGUUCAUAAUAUUAUUUGGACGUCCAUGUUCUCCAAACUUCAAGCUGCAAUGUAAAUCCUCAAUGUUGAUUGUGGGACCUGGUGGGACAUGUUUUUGUCACGGGGGGAAAAUUUCUCAUGAAUGGCUUCGUACAACCUCUUGGUAACCAAAAAGUUUACACUCUAUUAAUUCAAAUGAAAACUGGUUCACUAAAAUAAUCUGGCACCUUCACCUCACACUUGCUCUGUCUCUUAUCAUAUAAUAUGUCCAGUUACUCUUUACCUUCCACCAUGAUUUUAAGCUUCCUGAAAUCCUCACCAGAAGCAGAUGCUGGCACACACUUAUACAGUCUGCCAAACUGUGAGCCAAAUAAACCUUUUUUCUUUAUAAAUUAUGCACUCUCAAGUAUUCCUCUAUAUGCAAAAUAGUUAAUAUAGUCUAUAAUGUCUUAGUUUUCUGUUUCUUAUUUUUACCUUAAUUUUCUAUUUAUUACUGCAAAUGGGGUCUUGAUGUCUACAAUUAUUAUGUUGUUAUGUAUGUCUUGCUUCACUUUUGUCAAUAUUUGCUUUAUAUAUUUUAAAGCUCUGAUGUUAUAUACACAUAUGCAGAUAGAUAAAUAGUUAUAGAUUCCUGCUAAAUCAACUCACUUUAUCAUAAUAUAAUAUCAGUCAUUGUCUCAUGGCAGUACUUGACUUAAAGCAUAUUAUGUCUAAUAUAAUUAUGACCACCUCACUCAAUUGUGGUACUAUUUUCAUGGAAUAUACUUUUUUUAUUCUAUUACUUUCAGCCUACUUGAAUCAAUGCUAAAAUGAGUCUCUUGUAGGGAGCAUAUUGUUUGCUUUAUAAAAAAACCAAUCAGGCAUUCUAUUUUUUCUUCAUAUAAUUGUAUUUAUUUAUAAAUUCUUUGCUUUUUUAUUCCAGAUGGAGUUUCGCUCGUUGCCCAGACUGGACAAGUGCAAUGGUGCAAUCUCAGCUCACUGCAACCUCUGCCUCCCAGGUUCAAGCGAUUUUCCUGCCUCAGCCUCCCAAGUAGCUGGGAUUACAGGAACCUGCCACCAUGCUUGGCUAAUUUUUUUCUAUUUUUAGUAGAGACCAGGCGGCCUACCUCAGCAUCUUAACGUGUUGGGAUUACAGGCCUGAGCCACCACACCCAGCCUCGUGUAUUUUGGAGAUAGGGUCUCACUCUGUCAACCAGGUUGAUUUGCUGGGUUCACUGCUGCCCGAACCUCCCAAACUCAGAUGAUCCUCUCAUUUCAGCCUCUCAAGUAGCUGGAUUACAAGUAUGUGCCAUCACACCCAGCUACCUUUUUUGUAUUCUUUGCUGAGACAGAGUUUUGCCAUACUGCCCAUUCUGCUCUUGAACUCCUGGGAUCAAGUGAUCAGCCUACCUUGGCCUUACAAAGUCCUACGAUUACAUUUCAUUUUAUUAAAUAGUUUAAUUAAUUUAUAUUUAAAAUGAUUGCUUAAAGAAAUGAAGUUGUUAUUGCCAGUUAUAUUGUUAUUGUUUUAUGUGUUUUUAGUAGUAUAUUUCCCUCAUUUCCUUUUUUACUUUCUUAAAUUUAAUUUAAUUAAUUAAUUAAUUAAUUAUUAUUAUACUUUAAGUUUUAGGGUACAUGUGCACAAUGUGCAGGUUAGUUACAUAUCUAUACAUGUGACAUGCUGGUGCGCAGCACCCACUAACUCGUCAUCUAGCAUUAGGUAUAUCUUCCAAUGCUAUCCCUCCCCCCUCCCCCCACCCCACAACAGUCCCCAGAGUGUGAUGUUCCCCUUCCUGUGUCCAUGUGUUCUCAUUGUUCAAUUCCCACCUAUGAGUGAGAAUAUGUGGUGUUUGGUUUUUUUGUUCUUGCAAUAGUUUACUGAGAAUGAUGAUUUCCAAUCUCAUCCAUGUCCCUACAAAGGACAUGAACUCAUCAUUUUUUAUAGCUGCAUAAUAUUUCAUGGUGUAUAUGUGCCACAUUUUCUUAAUCCAGUCUAUCAUUGUUGGACAUUUGGCUUGGUUCCAAGUCUUUGCUAUUGUGAAUAAUGCCACAAUAAACAUACGUGUGCAUGUGUCUUUAUAGCAG